UGUGAGGAGCCUGAAACUGGUGACAUUUUCCUCUACAGCCUUCACAUCUGAACUGUCUCUGCAGGAACCACAUGAUUUGUACCCAGAAGUACUGUACCUGAUGCCAAGACCCAGAAAAUGAACUUAUCGUCAUUGGAACUCGUCAGAGAUUUCAGCAAGUAGGCUGAUCCAAGACAAAGGGUGCUGGUCAAGAUGGCAGACUUUGCAAAUAUGAACAGAAGAAAAACACAGCAGGGAUCUAAUGAAGCAAAUUCUUCAGCAUGUAGCAGUAACGGAUUUUUAUACCAGUCCUAGCAAGGACUCUCACCGUGAACGGCGUGCACAUUAACUUGCAUUCCCAGGAACCUAACACAAAUUCUUUUGAACACAGUACUGGAAACAGGACAAGCUAAGGGGUGUCAUUCUACUUACUAAUAAUGCCAUAUCCAUUAUUAUCUUCAAAUGCCCCUUUUAGAACUUUGCUGAUCCCAUUGAAUAUUCUGGGUAGCUGAGUUUUCAAAACAUAUUCAUUCCCAGUAGAGCUCUAUGCUCUGUUGAUUGGCUGCCUCCUUUCCUGAUCACGCUGUGAACUUUAGUGGAUGAAAUUUUAUACAUAAUCAUGCUGCAUUCUUUGCUGAUUGAGCCGCCUAUUAUCACUGUUUAUAUAGCUAUUACAUUCUGCGUUUCCCAGUCCAGUUGCAAGCUUGUUUUUCCCCAAUAUAUUAUGCAAAAUAAACUGAACAGGAAUUACAGUAUUUCCAACCUGCUGUGUCUUCAGAAUCUAAGAUAGCAAAAUGCUUAGGUUUUCUUUCAAAUAGUAGGAUAAAUGCUUCUCCAAAGAUUGAAGCUGCUGGUUAUGGAAAGCUUGUGCCACUUACUGUAUGCAAAAUAGGGAGAUUUACAAAGAAACUGAUUGCAUCUUUAUUUGCUUUAUCAAAGAAUCUAAAACCAUAGCUGAAACUAUAGAAAAUGCACUUUAGUGGUCUUAAAACAAAUGAUAUCCCCAACAGAUUUGUCGACAGCUUAGCACAUAAGCCCAGACUGCUGAAGCAAAAAGCAUCUGGAAUUUCUACUGCUAGAAUAUGCACCUUAAUAAGGAAAAGAUUCAAAAGUUCAAUGCCUGAAUUGUACAGCUUGGUCAGCGGAGUUUUGCAGCUGAACAAGCGUUGUCUGUGCAGCUGGCUUUGCCAAAAAUAAAUAAAUAAGGGGAAUGAAUAAACCGGCACUGAAAAAUAUGAAUCUUCCCUAAUAAUAAAAUAUGCAAAAAUGAUAGUAAACUCUCUCCAUUUAUUAAAUUCAAUUAUGCCUCUCAAUCAGCAAAGUGUGCAACAACUGCACUCAAGAAGGGCGUCACUAAAUCAGGGGAAGAUACAGCCCAAUCAGGAAAAUUUAACAACUCGAUCAUUAAAUUAGGCAACACUACCAGAACCAAGGUAAAUAAAAAGAAGAUAAACUGUACAGGCUGAUCUUUGCAGGCUAAAACGGUGAGAGGGAGACUGAAAAGACACCAUUGGAUAAUAAAUAGGUCAGUCUCCUGGGGGACUAGACCUUUAGGUGAUGUAAAUAAUUAUUGCUUUAAUGAAGUUACUGGAGCUGUAUCUGUUCUUCUAAAGUAAAUACCUGGUACAACAA